CGAACUCCAUCAUGUUUAGGAAACCGCCCGGCUUAGCAGGCUAACUGUUGAAAGAGUAUCUGUGUUCUUGUUUGAGGGAUAGUAACUGGAUUUGGCUACCUUUUGUCUACUUGUUUUGGAAGAGAGGAAAUCUCAUACUGUAAGUGCAUCUCAGGUAUAAUGCUCUUGCCCCGACUUGACCCUGUCAAUUGGCAGUGCAAAUUUUGAGGUGAUGCAGCUGGACACGAGCUGCAAGGGGGGCGUCACCUUGAUUAUGAAAUAUGAAAGUGUCAUGAUUCGUGCUGGCUUAACUAGGGAGGCACUGACUGCAUCGUGAUUAGUCUAUUGAGCGUUGAAAAGCUUGACGGCAGAUGCAACCUCACCCAGAAGAGGGUUCUUGACCUGUGCUGGGGCAGUGUACAGCAAAGGUUUUAUGAUACUGAGGAUGUCCAAGACUGAUUUGUUUACGAAGUUUUAUCUGUCUGUGUGCUCCUGAGUCAGAUCAGAUGCUAGGAAAGUGGGUAUGUAGCGUAUGUAUGUGGUGAUGAUUCUUUUUUCUUUGAGCAUCAUGUGGUGAGGAUUCUUUGCAAGUUGCAAUUAGCCAAAGGCAUCUCAGAUUCUCAGCAUGUCCAGUUGGCCAUUA